UCUAAUAUGGCAGACUAGUGUAAUGGACUUAAACCCCAUAUAUAAAGGUUACCUUUUUUUAGAA
rnacentral:tRNA from 1 species